CUAGAACUUGAAACCGUUGUGGUGUCAUCUGUGGUUGUCGAUUCAGGUUGGGUACUAGAACUUGAAACCGUUGUGGUGUCAAUUAUGGUUGUUCCUUCUGAACUUGUUGUCAACUCAGGUUGGGCACUAGAACUUGAAACCGUUGUGGUGUCAACCGUGGUUGUCGAUUCAGGUUGGGUACUAGAACUUGAAACCGUUGUGGUGUCAAUUAUGGUUGUCGAUUCAGGUUGGGUACUAGAACUUGAAACCGUUGUGGUGUCAACCGUGGUUGUCGAUUCAGGUUGGGCACUAGAACUUGAAACCGUUGUGGUGUCAACCGUGGUUGUCGAUUCAGGUUGGGCACUAGAACUUGAAACCGUUGUGGUGUCAUCUGUGGUUGUCGAUUCAGGUUGGGUACUAGAACUUGAAACCGUUGUGGUGUCAAUUAUGGUUGUUCCUUCUGAACUUGUUGUCAAUUCAGGUUGAGCACUAGAACUUGAAACCGUUGUGGUGUCAUCUGUGGUUGUCGAUUCAGGUUGGGUACUAGAACUUGAAACCGUUGUGGUGUCAUCUGUGGUUGUCGAUUCAGGUUGGGUACUAGAACUUGAAACCGUUGUGGUGUCAAUUAUGGUUGUCGAUUCAGGUUGGGUACUAGAACUUGAAACCGUUGUGGUGUCAUCUGUGGUUGUCGAUUCAGGUUGGGUACUAGAACUUGAAACCGUUGUGGUGUCAAUUAUGGUUGUCG